CUGGGUGUAGCGCAGUUUGGUUAGCGCACGUGCUUUGGGAGCACGGGGCCGCAGGUUCGAAUCCUGUCACCUAGA
rnacentral:tRNA from 1 species